GUCCCCAUCGUCUAGCGGCCUAGGACACCGCCCUUUCAAGGCGGUUGCGCCGGUUCGAAUCCGGUUGGGGAUGCCA
rnacentral:tRNA from 1 species